rnacentral:rRNA from 1 species
UACGGGGGGGGCAAGCGUUGUUCGGAAUUACUGGGCGUAAAGGGCUCGUAGGCGGCCAACUAAGUCGGAUGUGAAAUCCCCAGGCUCAACCUGGGAACUGCAUCCGAUACUGGAUGGCUUGAAUUCGGGAGAGGGAUGCAGAAUUCCAGGUGUAGCGGUGAAAUGCGUAGAUAUCUGGAGGAAUACCGGUGGCGAAGGCGGGAUCCUGGACCGACAUUGACGCUGAGGAGCGAAAGCCAGGGGAGCAAACGGG